AGCGCGCUCAAGUAGCGAAGCGGUAGCGCAGGAUAGAGUGCUUUCGAUGAAGCGGGCGCGUGAGCGAUCCCGUGGAGAGAUCACUAGUGAGAAUGAUGACAUGAGUAGCGACAAAGAGUGUGAGAGACACUCUCGCCGAAAGUCCAAGGGUUCCUGCUUAAAGCUAAUCUGAGCAGGGUAAGCCGGCCCCUAAGCCGAGGCCGAAAGGCGUAGGCGAUGGGAACUAGGUUAAUAUUCCUAGGCCAGGAGGAUGUGACGGAUCAUGAAGGUUGUUUGCCCUUAUCGGAUUGGGCAGGCCGCUGAUUGGUUCCUGGAAAUAGCCCUCCAUGAGACCGUACCCUAAACCAACACAGGUGGACUGGUAGAGCAUACCAAGGCGCUUGAGAGAACGAUGUUGAAGGAACUCGGCAAAAUACCUCCGUAAGUUCGCGAGAAGGAGGCCCAGUUUCUACGCAAGUAUUGGCUGGGGGCACAAACCAGGGGGUGGCGACUGUUUACUAAAAACACAGGGCUCUGCGAAGUCGCAAGACGACGUAUAGGGUCUGACGCCUGCCCGGUGCCUGAAGGUUAAAAGGAGGGGUGAGAGCUCUGAAUUGAAGCCCAGGUAAACGGCGGCCGUAACUAUAACGGUCCUAAGGUAGCGAAAUUCCUUGUCGGGUAAGUUCCGACCUGCACGAAUGGCGUAACGACUUCCCCGCUGUCUCCAACAUCGACUCAGCGAAAUUGAAUUGCCUGUCAAGAUGCAGGCUUCCCGCGGUUAGACGGAAAGACCCCGUGCACCUUUACUACAGCUUCACACUGGCAUCAGGCCAUGCAUGUGCAGGAUAGGUGGUGGGCUUUGAAACCAUGACGCCAGUCAUGGUGGAGCCUCCCUUGAGAUACCACCCUUGCAUUGCUUGAUGUCUAACCGCGGUCCGUUAUCCGGAUCCGGGACCCUGUGUGGCGGGUAGUUUGACUGGGGCGGUCGCCUCCUAAAGCGUAACGGAGGCGCGCGAAGGUUGGCUCAGAGCGGUCGGAAAUCGCUCGUUGAGUGCAAUGGCAGAAGCCAGCCUGACUGCGAGACUGACAAGUCGAGCAGAGUCGAAAGACGGCCAUAGUGAUCCGGUGGUCCCGAGUGGAAGGGCCAUCGCUCAACGGAUAAAAGGUACGCCGGGGAUAACAGGCUGAUACUGCCCAAGAGUCCAUAUCGACGGCAGUGUUUGGCACCUCGAUGUCGGCUCAUCUCAUCCUGGGGCUGGAGCAGGUCCCAAGGGUACGGCUGUUCGCCGUUUAAAGAGGUACGUGAGCUGGGUUUAGAACGUCGUGAGACAGUUCGGUCCCUAUCUGCCGUGGGUGUAGGAUACUUGAGAGGAGUUGCCCCUAGUACGAGAGGACCGGGGUGAACGAUCCACUGGUGGACCUGUUGUUGCGCCAGCAGCAGUGCAGGGUAGCUAUGAUCGGACAGGAUAACCGCUGAAGGCAUCUAAGCGGGAAGCCCCCCUCAAAACAAGGUAUCCCUGAGGACCGAGGUAGACCACCUCGUCGAUAGGCCAGAGAUGUAAGUGCGGUAACGCAUUCAGUUGACUGGUACUAAUGGUCCGAUAGGCUUGAUUUGAAAUCAAGCGCGAGAAGGGCGUUUGGUGGAUGCCUUGGCAGUAAGAGGCGAUGAAAGACGUGAUACUCUGCGAUAAGCCAUGGGGAGCUGAGAAUAAGCUUUGAUCCAUGGAUCUCUGAAUGGGGGAACCCACCUGAAAGUUCUCUAUUACUACUUCGGUAGCUAAUAGGGUUCUUAACCAGGUACUUUUGACCUGAAUACAUAGGGUCUUAAGAGCAAACCCGGGGAACUGAAACAUCUAAGUACCCGGAGGAAAGGAAAUCAAUUGAUACUCCCCUAGUAGCGGCGAGCGAACGGGGACCAGCCAAGCCUGAUGAGUGACUAGAACCGUUUGGGAAGACGGGCCAUAGUGGGUGACAGCCCCGUAUAGGAAGCUCUGAAGGAUGUAUUAAGUAGGGCGGGACACGUGAAAUCCUGUCUGAAGAUCGGAGGACCACCUUCGAAGGCUAAGUACUCCUUACUGACCGAUAGCGAACCAGUACCGUGAGGGAAAGGUGAAAAGCACCCCGACGAGGGGAGUGAAACAGUACCUGAAACCGAACGCCUACAAUCAGUUGGAGGCCCCUUGAGGGCUGACAGCGUACCUUUUGUAUAAUGGGUCAUCGACUUGGUCUAUCUAGCAAGCUUAAGCCGUUAGGUGUAGGCGCAGCGAAAGCGAGUCUUAAUAGGGCGCAUGAGUUAGAUGGAUCAGACCCGAAACCGAGUGAUCUAGGCAUGGCCAGGUUGAAGGUGCGGUAACACGCACUGGAGGACCGAACCCACAUCUGUUGAAAAAGAUCGGGAUGAGCUGUGCCUAGGGGUGAAAGGCCAAUCAAACUCGGAGAUAGCUGGUUCUCUGCGAAAUCUAUUUAGGUAGAGCGUCAUCUGAAUACCCCGGGGGGUAGAGCACUGGAUGGGUAAUGGGGCCCCACAGGCUUACUGAUCCUAACCAAACUCCGAAUACCCGGGAGUACUAGAUGGCAGACACACUGCGGAUGCUAACGUCCGUAGUGGAGAGGGAAACAACCCUGACCUACGACUAAGGCCCCUAAUUCAUGGCUAAGUGGGAAAGCAGGUGGGACGACCAAAACAACCAGGAGGUUGGCUUAGAAGCAGCCAUCCUUUAAAGAUAGCGUAACAGCUCACUGGUCUAAAUAAGUUGUCCUGCGGCGAAGAUGUAACGGGGCUCAAGCCAUGAGCCGAAGUCUAGGAUGCACAUAGUGCAUGGUAGCAGAGCGUAGUGUGACAUAG
rnacentral:rRNA from 1 species